GUUAAAGUAUGCUAAAUCUAAAGCAACUGGGCCCAUACCCCAGGAAUGGUGGACGACACCCUUUAACA
rnacentral:tRNA from 1 species